UGAGAUCGGAUGUAACAGUGCGUAG
rnacentral:piRNA from 1 species